GCGGGGGGUGGCGGUGGGAGCUUAGCUUGUGUACAAAUAUUAGGUAUUUGGUGUUUUUAAAGCCAAAUAUGGUUAUAAUUAAAUUUUCCUCUUGUCAGCCUGGAUUAUUUUGGGUUCUGUAGCCAAUCUGAGACCCAGGCAUUCCAUUGCUUUGUAAAACAGCCACACACCACAACUACCCAUAGCAAUUUGUUGGAUGCUGUUAUAAGGCUUUGAAAUUCAAUGAGAAGAUUGAGAAGUGCCAGGAAUCCCUGUGUGAGCUAGAGUCCUAAGGGCUGGAAGAUUCUUGCAGGAGCCUAGUGUCCUUGAGGGACACUAAAUCUUUAAGGGAUAUAAUAAUGAAGUCUCUCAUGCCCAAAGUUAUCACAUGCAGUAUGUAUGCAUGUAUAAAUUCAUGAAAAUAGUAUACUUGGGUGGUUGCAUUUCAUCAUAAAUGCACUAAGAGUCUCUUAAUGGUACACUUCAAAAUGCUCAAUUUUAUAUUAUGUGAAUUUUACUUCAAAAAAAGUUAAGUGAAACAAUCUCUAAAAAAAAAAAAAAAAAAAAAGAAAGAAAGAAAGAAAAAUCCCCCACGUCCCCCUCCAAAAGAAGGGUGUCAGUCCCUGUGCACAGAUCCGAAAGCUCUGGGGCCAUGACCAGCAGAGGAGUCAUGGUGCGUCUGAAGGGAUAAGAGGAGAUAAAGUGUAUCAAAGGGGGCCUUGACACAUGGGAUGCUACGCAGGCCUGUCUCCCCGAGAGCAUCUCUGGCCUGAGUGACAGGGGAUUAAUCCACGGGAGGGCGGUAAACAAUGGCUGAAGUGGGCUUGAGGCCCAACACCUGGAUGUGAGGCUGGAGGCCGUCCGGGAGGCCACGCCAUACUGUGAGGGGACACAGGCCCUCCUGACACACUUCUUAACGACCCCUUCCACUUCUCGUGGGGCCUCUGGCCUGCCACCCUUUCUCUUGGAUAAACAUGUUUGAAAAAUAGGUCGGGAUUUUUGUUUUGUUUUGUUUUUGUUCAGUGCUUGGGGGCCAGGGGAGCAGAAGAUGUUAGAAAUUCAACAGUCGCCCGCUGUGAGUUCUUAACAGAAAAGGGUUUCGGAUGACAACCAAAUGUAGGGGGCAGACCGGGUUGGGAUCCUGAGUCGAACAAGUCAGGAGGAAAGUAGAUAUUUUUGAGGUGAUGAGGACCCCUGGAAUAGAAACUGGGUGAUACCGAGCAAUCAGUGUUCCUCUUGUGAGAAGUGAUGAUGGCGUUGCGUGGUUUUUUCCCCUGGGGGAAAAAAAAGUUUGUUUUCUUAUAUAUGAGCACUGAAGGGGGU
rnacentral:lncRNA from 12 species